GCCCAUUUAGUAUAAUGGUAUUACAAAUCCAUGGUAAGGAUUAAAAGUAAGUUCGAUUCUUACAUUGGGCA
rnacentral:tRNA from 1 species